ensembl:snRNA U6 U6 spliceosomal RNA
GUACUAGCUUCAGCAGCAUGGACACUAAGAUUGGAAUUACACAGAGGAGAUUAGCAUGAUCCUGCACAAAGAUGAUAUGUUAGUCAGCUAUUUAU